UAGGAGUUAGGGGUUUAAUAAAACUUCCUUUUUCGUUUUCUUGUGAUUCCUAUUUUAAAUGCAGAUGAUAUUUUAUUCGAAAGGAAGUUUUCUUCAGCACUCACAUCUCUUUCUAAUCAUCCCCUCCCCAACCUAAAUUCCAUGAAAAUUUCUCUGACUAACUUGUAUUUUUUUUUUCUGUUCAGAUGAGUGUCAAAUGCCUGAACACUUUUGGAUGGUGAAGCUCCUGGGUCCUAUAAACUGUCUCUGAAGUUAAUAGGAGUUUUGCUGUCUUGGGAUAGUUUUAGAUCUUAUGCCAUUUACAUAAGUUUCAGUCAAGUAGAUUAUAUAUAUUCUACAAUGUUAUAUUUAGUAUUUUUAUUUGCAGUGUCUAAAAACAUUUUGAGGCAUUUUACUUGUGUGUUUUAGAUUUUCUAAAAUUUAAAUUUAGGUUCGCAAACUGAUUUGAAAGCAGAGUUUAAAUUGAAUUUGACUUCUUAACCAAUUUUAAAGCAUGCAUGUGGUAUAAAAGUUGCUGUUAGAGAUACUUAGGGCUCAAGUAAAUGAAAAUUAUUCAUAUGGAUUGGUUAAAUAAUAAUCAUAAAUAGUAACAAAACAAAUGACAUUUAAAAUUAA
rnacentral:lncRNA from 1 species